CAGGACACUGAGGAUUAAGAAAUCAUUUGUCUUGCCUUCCAUCUUUGCAGCCACAAGAGAGAAGCAGAGUUCAGUUCUCAGAGUGGAAAGACAGGACUUGAUGAAGGAAAAGGAAAACAGAAAGACCCAGUGUGGAAUUGGUGAGUUAUUAUGGAUGAUUUGGAAAGGAUAUUUACUUAACAGAAAUGCAUGUAGAAUGGCAGCAGAUGUACAUUUAGAACUGCUUUGAAAACAAGAUAUUAUCUUCCCUUCUGUCCUGCUGUUUCAGCAAUUAGCCAUACACUUUCCUGGUUUGGUUUGAUUAUUUUUGUUUUAUUUAUUUAUUUUGUUCUUCCCUCCCACAGUGGAUUAAAAUGGAUUGUACAUUAUUUUUAUGGCAAAUGAGCUGUGAUGGAAACAGUAAGAACUAUUAACCUUUCUCCACAGACACCCAGUAGCUUCAUAGGAAAUCAAGGAUUUGAUGCUAGAUCCUUCACAGCUAAUUGGCUAAUAAUACUCAGUCACCUAGUCUGAGAAUUUAAGAUUUGGCUCUGAAUUUGGUGUCACGGGGAGAUACACACACUUAACACUACUCAUCUAAGUUGUAGUUAAGGGUUUUGUUUAUAUCCAUAUUUUGUGUGAUCCUAGUGUCAUGAUUGGAGUACCUAGCGAUGAUGGUGGAUUUUAAAGGAGGAUGGAGAAAAUGCACAAAUAUGCCCAACACAUGGAUGGGUAUUUUCCACAUUACACUGAUUUAUAUAUCUGCAAGAGCCACACACUUCCCC